GGGCUCGACCAGGACCCCGGACCUCUCACACCCGAAGCGAGAAUCAUACCACUAGACCAGCGAGCC